rnacentral:lncRNA from 1 species
GACGACCUCCACUCCGUCAACAAGAACGAAGCCGUUGCUGUUUUGGGCGACGUGAAGGCGGCGGCGGGAGUGGACAAGAGUGUGCAGAGAUGCGUUGUUGCGGAAAUCGGUGAUGCGGAAAGGGACCACGUGGAGGCGGAGGGUGGCCAGGUACAACGCCGGGGAUUCGGCCGUCAAAUCGAGUCCGAAUAGGGCGGAAUCGGAAGGAGGCAAGAGAGUGAGGGAAGGAAGGGAGAGGACGUCAAAGA